rnacentral:rRNA from 1 species
UACGUAGGGUGCAAGCGUUGUCCGGAAUUAUUGGGCGUAAAGAGCUCGUAGGCGGCUUGUCGCGUCGGCUGUGAAAACCUGGGGCUCAACCCCGGGCCUGCAGCCGAUACGGGCAAGCUAGAGUUCGGUAGGGGAGACUGGAAUUCCUGGUGUAGCGGUGAAAUGCGUAGAUAUCAGGAGGAACACCGGCGGUGUAGACGGCUUUCUGGACCGUAGCUGACGCUGAGACACGAAAGCGUGGGUAGCAAACAGG